AGAUCGGGAACACCUCGAACGAAGUUGUCAAGUUACUCCGCAGUUUUUCGGGUUUUCUGUUUUCAACAAUUUUUAUUGAUUCUUAGCUGUAGGUUUUCAUUUGUUUGCUUUUUAUUCUCCCUUUACAAUAUCUAACACCUUCUUGUUUUUUGUGUUAGUAGGAUUUAAACGUGUGCCCAAUUCUUCCUCGGUGCAACACGAAUCAAUUGGUGUCUCGUCAGUUUUUGGCAUCCUAGUGCAAAUUAGAAUUCUUUGGUAGUUUGGUUCACACUCUCUAAUUGGUUGAUAUAAACUCUGAUAAAGAACUCACAAGAUCGAAUUCGACCUCAUUGAGAAGUUGAUUUUUCUUUUUAAGUGAUUAAUGGUGAGGUUUGAUAACUUUUAUUUUUGAGUGUUGAGUGUUUAUUUUUUACAGGUUUUGAAGAUGUCUAAAGGUGAUAAUAAUGAUGCACUUAUGAAAGUCCAACAACUGUUAGACAGACAUACUGCUGCAAUCACACAAAUAAAUGCUACACUUCAAGCAUUGAAUACUACUUUGAAUGAGGUACGAGUGAAUCAAAAACAUCAAUAUCGAGAUCCAAUUAAGGAAGAUAGGGAUAACCAGCCCCAUAGGUGCAACCCUCAACGUGUCCCUAGAAUGGAUGAUGAUUGUCAUGAUCAUGGACAAUCAUCUUUGGCAAAACCAAAGAGCGAGCAGCAAUGAGAACAUCUCUUUCAUACUCGCUGCCACGUACAAGGUAAGCUUUGUAGAGUUAUUAUUGAUGGUGAAAGUUGCUCGAACAUAGCCAGCACGACGAUGGUGGAAAAGCUUUGCUUAACCACUACCAAGCAUCCACAACCUUAUCAACUACAAGGGCUUAGCAACGAAGGCCAAUUUAGGGUCACUCAACAAGUGCGCAUCGCCUUUUCUAUCGGUAAGUAUCAAGACGAAGUUGUGUGCGACGUAAUGCCUAUUCAAGCCUGCCAUUUGUUGCUAGGAGAACCGUGGCAACUGGAUCGAAAAGUCACUCAUGAUGGUCGUACCAAUAGGUAUUCUUUCAAGCAUCAAGGAAAGAAACUCACCUUAGUGCCGCUCACUCUGGAACAAGUCCAUGAGGACCAAAUCAAACUGAAAAAUUCUGUUAAAAUAAGUGAGGAAAAAGAAAAAGAGAAUGAAAAAGAGAAAAAAGAGAUUGAGAGUGAAAAAGAAAUUGAAGAAAGAAGAGAAAAUGAAUUAGAAAAAGAAACAAAAGAAAAAGACGUGGAAAGGGUAGUGAGGAAUGUUUCCACUAACCAAGAUAUGAAUUUUUCUUGUGCUGCUACUUUUCAGGUUCCUGAAAGAUCGAAAGAUAACUUUCAACUUCAAUACCGCUCAAAUGAAAGACGCUUUCAUACGAUCAACUUAAGCAAAGAUGAAAUCACACUACAUGAUCCCGAAGGUAAGCGAGGUAAGGAAAUUUUAGAAACCGAGUCCAGUGCAGAUUUGAAAAUUAUUGAUAAAACUUUUGGUGACUUAGUUCUUAAAAGAUCCCCUCAUUUUGAUCCGAUUAAUUGUUACUCUUCGAUUGUGGUUGAUAAAGUCAUUACGAAAAGAAGCGUGAUUUGUUAUUCUUUUGAUUUACCUUGUGUAAAAUCCUUGAAUUUGUCCAAAUCUGUUUUGGAGAAUAAGGUAACGAAAUUUUCCAAAUUUGUUUUCAAUUUAUAUUCGUGCCUUAAACAGUUUAUGCGGUUGUACAUGAAGUUUGAGUUCCAUUUGACAAACGUUAACUCAAUAACGAAGAUUCGACUACACUAUGCCCCCGAUGAGCGAAGGUUUGUUUUAAAUGAAAAAGGUAAAAUCGACCCUUAUUCUUCUGCUUAUCGAGGUAAGAUGCUUGAAACCUUUGAAACACUUUUGUACUCCUCGGAUAGUGAUAAAGAUCGUGUUGAUGAACACUUAGAUCAAAACGUGCUUGACUGUCCUAUUUUAUUUAUUGAUGAUCUAUCUGUUUUGAUAGUUGAUAAAAAGAUUCUUGUUUUUGAUAAUGCAUGUGUGAGUGAAUCUAUAGACCGUCGAUUAAUGCAUGGUGUGAUUAUGCAACUCUGUGAACCAUGUGAAUCUUUUCAAAUACCUACUUGUGACGAUUAUGUUUACCAUUUGAUUUAUUACUCGCAAUUUAUUCAUGGUUUGUGGGUGAUGUGAUCCGGCCCAUAUUAAUUGAGUCGAUUCACUUGAUUGCCCGCUCGUCGACGAGGAAUAGUUAAGUUAUCGAAAAUAGGAUGAAAUAAGGCUAAAGAUGCAGAAGCUUUCAAAUGGUUUUAAAAGGUUGGCUAAGGCGAUGGUAAAUUUAUAAGGGUAGUAGGCUCGAUUUAAGGAUAAAAAUAAGAAAAAUGGAAGUUGAUAAAUGAAGGCUCGGUUUUGUAAAAAGAUAUUAUAGUUGGGUAAAAUCUAGGAUAGUCGGUGGAAUGGAUAAAUGAGCUUAAACACCAGAAACGAUUCAACACUAAAAGUGUCACCUCGAUUUCUAUUCGGUUCAAGGUGGGAUUACGGAAUUGUAGAAGGGUUGAACACCACACCAAAGCAAGGUGAUAAGUUCAAAAGAGAACGAUAGACGCCACUAGCACGCUAGAUAAGUCAGAUCGAAACUCGUACGAAUUUAGAGAGGAGAAAACUCACUCUUUGAACAAAGUUCAUUCAAAUGAUCAAAAGUCAAAAGUCCUUUACAAAUGAAAUCAACAAACUAUUUAUACUAGUUUCUUAUGCUAACCGAAUAAUCCAUUCAUGAACUUAAUGAUUAAGUAAUGAACCUAAAUUAAGACAUGAACCUUCCAGAAAAAUGACCAAUGGUGUCCUUGUCCAUGUUCGGCCGAAUGGGAGAUGAAUGGGCAGCUUCAUGUAUGAGCAAACUUUGGAAGCCAAUGGGAUUGUCUAGGUUCGGCCAUGGGAUGCAUGAAACUCCCAAAGGGUGUCUCUUGGCCGAAUAGGUGCUUAGGAAACUCCAAGGGUCCUCCUACAUGCAUCGAUUGUAAAUGGAACUUGGAAGGGGCCUUGAACCUAGCCAUACAUGCACUUGCAUUGAUUACCCCCCCAUUCAUGCAUGUGUGCCGUCCAAGGGAGAUGCACCUUUCAAUAUGCAUUAACCUUCCAUGUACAUGAAUGUAUGUCCUCCAAACAUUGAACCGGUCCAUGCAUGUAUCCUCCCGUUCAAUUAACUUUCCCAUGGACCUUGCAUUAAAUGCCAUGAAUGUAUCUUCCAAAUUCGGCUAACCUACAAAAGUAAAUAACAUAAUUAAAUAACACACAACUAUUCAUAUAAUUAUAAUUUAAAAUAAUAACUAAAUAACUUAAUAUCACUAACUAAAUUUGAACACAAUAAUUAUAAGUCAACUUAUAAUAAAUUCAGCUAGCUCAAAAAAAUAGUCAAAACACUCAAUGAGUUGAAAUUGAGCUAGGGGUUUCGGCAUGAGCUGUAGCAAACUUAAUUAUAAACUAAAUUAAGACUUAGUUUAUUGAAAGAAAGAAAGAAGGAGCUGAAAGUAAGCUCGGUUGAGCUCAAACGAGCUGAAACAAGCUCAAAUGAGCUGAGUUGAGCUGGACGGUGCUCGAGGAGCUAGAAAUGAGCUAGGAUCAGCUUGCCAACAAUGCACAGGUCCUUUGGAUAGUUGCUUCAAGCUGAUUUUGUGAGCUUUGGCCCUUGUUUCGAACCAAGGUUUUGCAUUAGAAGCUAAAAUAGCUUCUAGGAAAUGUUUAGCAUAAGCUUGAGUUAUAGGUCCUUUAGGUAGCUCGUUUAGAUCUUGGUUUGCACUCGAGGAUGCCCCGGGCGUGCUCACAUCAGUGGGAACAAUGUGAGACGACUGAAUGCCUUAAAACAUGUCCAUCUUUGUUUCAAAUAUUUGACGAGGCAGUGGUGAGUAAAUUAGAUUGUUUGCAUGGUAAUCUGAAUCUGUCCAUUCACAUGCGUUAUACCUGUUCUAUUAUGCUUAUGAUUGGACUACAAGCUUAUUUCCGUUGCUAUUUACUAUCUCAUGGCUAUUCUUCUCAGUGGACUCAAUUGCCAUUAGUCCCGUUCGAUAGAGGAAAGUCGAGUUCAUUUGAUUUUUUAGAUUCGAGGACGAAUCUUUUUGAGGAAGGGGGGAAUGAUACGAGUCACAAAAGCCCAAAUUCUUGAGGGCAAGGCCCAAUAAGAAGAUUCCCAGCCCAAUCAAGAAAUCCACCCAUACUUAGUUGAAAAUCAGGCCAAAUUGUCAAAGUGGCCCAAGUUGUAAAGUUUUAUUUUUAUUUAUUUAUUUAUUUAUUUUACUUAGUUUAAAUUUUUAUAUUCAGUCCAAGAGUCCCAAAUAAAAGACCCUUGGCCGAAUUUCCAUAUUAAAAUAAUUAGGAGUUUUUUUUUAGUUUUAGUUUUAGUGUUCUAAUUAAAUUAGGAAAACAUUUGAAAGGCCUAUUUAUAUGGCUUGGCCAGCCACCCUACAUUACAUUACAAUUACAUUGAAAAUUUCAGAUUUGAUUUGAGUGAAAAUUCUCUUUGAGUUCUUCAAGGAUUUUCUCUUGAGUUUUCUUUAGAAGUUGUUUUAACAAUCUUUUUGAUUGUGGGAGCCAUCUUCAACCUUCUUCUUGCCAUUGAUAUUCUUUGGAGGGGAGAUUAGAGCCGUUUGAAAGGAGUUGUGAGAUCUUUCGGGAUUUCAAGGCUUCUUAGGACUUAUCUUUUAAUUUCUUACUGUCAAUUCUUUCUUUAUUUCUGCUUGUGCCGAAUCUUUAUCUAAUUUAUUUUCUGUUCUUAUUGUGUGUUCAGCAUUUUUCUAUCUUAAGGAAUUAGCCCAAAAAUCCCCAAUUUCUAGGGUUCUUGCCGAUUCAUCCAUACUCUUUUUUGGGAGAAAUUAGAUUGCCGAAAUUUGGGGAAAACUAUCUGGGUGUUCAAUUGGGCAGAAUCGCAAUCUCUUCUAGGGUUUCAAGAUUCCUUAUUAACACUUAUUUCUAUUCUCUAUUUGAUUCUUUACUGUUUUGGGGAUUUUAUUUCAGAUAUGAAAAUUCAAAAAUCUAAUCUUUUAAUUUUCUGUUUCGUUUCAGAUCUAAUUGUUUAGGGUUUUCGUAGGAGUUUCUCGUGACUUGACAACUCGAUCUUGGUCCGCGCGCAACCCCGUAUCAUUAAUGAUACGAGUCACAAAAGCCCAAAUUCUUGAAGGCGAGGCCCAAUAAGCAAAUUCCCAGCCCAAUCAAGAAAUCCAUCCAUACUUAGUUGAAAAUCAGGCCAAAUUGUCAAAGUGGCCCAAGUUGUAAAGUUUUAUUUUUAUUUUUAUUUAUUUAUUUACUUAGCUUAAAUUUUUAUGUCAAUAUUCAAUCCAAGAGUCCCAGAUAAAAUGACCUUUGACCGAAUUUCCAUAUUAAAAUAAUUAGGAGUUUUUUUUAUUUUAGUUUUCUAAUUAGAUUAGGACUAGUUAUAAGGCCUAUUUAAAGGCAUGGCUGUCCACCUUGUUAAACACUUAUCAUUAUUAUUAAAAUUUCAGAUUUGUUGAGAGCAGAAUUUUCUUUGAGUUUUCUCCAAGAUUUUUCUCUUGAGUUUUCUUUAGAAGUUGUUUUAACAAUCUUGUGAUUGUGGGAGCCAUCUUCAACCUUCUUCUUGCCAUUGAUAUUCUUUGGAGGGGAGAUUAGAGCCGUUUGAAGGGAGUUGUGAGAUCUUUCGGGAUUUCAAGGCUUCUUAGGACUUAUCUUUUAAUUUCUUACUGUCAAUUCUUUCUUUAUUUCUACUUGUGCUGAAUCAUUAUCUAAUCUAUUUUCUGUUCUUAUUGUGUUUUCAGCCUUUUUCUAUCUUAAGGAAUCACCCCAAAAAUCCCCAAUUUCUAGGGUUUUUCCAUACUCUUUUUGGGUGAAAUUAGAUUGUCGAAAUUUGGGGAAAACUAUCUUGGUGUUCAAUUGGGCAGAAUCACAAUCUCCUUGAGGGUUUCAAGAACCCUAACACUUAUUUCUAUUCUCAAUUUGAUUCUUUGCUGAUUUGGGGAUUUUAUUUCAGAUCUGAAAAUUCAAAAAUCUAAUCUUUUAAUUUUUUGUUUCGUUUCAGAUCUAAUUGUUUAGGGUUUUCGUAGGAGUUUCCCGUGACUUGACGACUCGAUCUUGGUCUGCGCGCAUUCCUCUAUCAGUAAACAUAUUACUUGUUUAAUUUAAUUUUUUAAUCUUUAGGAGCAUUACAUGUAAAAUUCGGCCCAAAACAGCCCAUAUAAGUGCAUGGCCGAAUUUACCUUGUUAUUUUAUUAAUUAGGUUUAAUUUUUAUUAGUUACUUGUGAGAUUAGGAUUUGUUGGAGGCCUAUAUAAGCAUUGGCCAGACACCCUUUGUAAACACAUCUUAUUAUUAUUUUUCUAUCAAAUUUUAGAUUUGUUGAGUGCAGAAUUUUCUUUGGGGUUUUCUCCAAGAAUUCUCUCUUGAGUUUUCUUUAGAAGUUGUUUUAACAAUCUUUUGAUUGUGGGAGCCAUCUUCAACCUUCUUUUUGCCAUCGAUAUUCGUUGGAGGGGAGAUUAGAGCCGUUUGAAGAGAUUUGUGAAAUCUUUUGGGAUUUCAAGGAUCUUUAGGACUUCAAUUUACUUUCUUGCUGUUCAUUCUUUUCUUUUAAAUUUUGUUUAUGCCGAUUCUUUUGAUCUAACUUGUUUAUUCUUCUUGUGAAUUUCCAGCCAUCUUUAUUACUCAAAAAGAUCGAUCGGUACUCAUUCUUGGUAGCCAAAUUCGACUAAACUUAUCUUUUCCAAUUAAUCUUGUCGAAUUCUUCUUGUCAAAACUGACUGUUUUAGGUUGCUGGAAUUUUGGGAAAAAUCAAGUUGCUGGAAUUUGGGGCUUUAUUCAUCGGUUUAGUUCUUGGACAGAUUCGGCUUGUUGAAAAUCAAUCUUGGAGAUCGAUUUCGUGUUUUUGCAUUCCGAAAACAUCUAUUCAUAAGAUCUUUGAUUAUUGGCUGUUCUUGAUUGUUUUGGGGAUCUUAAUUUCCAGAUCUGAUUUGUUUUUAAUCUUAUUCUUUGUUUUGAUUUCAGAUCUAUUCGAUUAGAGCUUUCGUAGGAGUUUCUCGUGACUUGGCAACUCGAUCUUGGUCCGCUUGCGUCCCUUUAUCACUUUAUUAACAAUUAUUCCUAUUCUCAAUUUGAUUCUUUGCUGAUUUUGGGAUUUUUAUUACAGAUCUAGAAAUUCAAAGUUCUAAUCUUUUAAUUUCUGUUUCGUUUCAGAUCUAUUCGUUUACAGCCUCAUAGGAGUUUUCUCGUGACUUGGCAACUCGAUCUUGGUCCGCGCGUAACCCUCUAUCAUUUAAGCUCAAGAAUUAUGAGGAUGAGGUAUGGUGUGAUGUGGUCCCAAUGCAUGUAGCACACUUGCUCCUUGGACGGCCUUCGCAAUUUGAUCGUGAUGUUACACACCAAGGUAAGCUUAAUCGAUACUCCCUUGUGUUUAAAGGCCGAAAAUACACUUUUGCUCCUUUAAAUCCUACUGAUGUAUAUAAAGAUCAAUUAAAGAUGAUGAAAUUUUGUGAGGGGGUAAGGGAGAAAGGACAAAUACAAAAGACAGAGAGAAAAGAGGCUAGUAGCGAAAAAAGUCAAAAUCUAAAUAGCCCAAAGGUGAGUGAAUCCACAAGUGGUAAAAUGAGAGUGAAAAAUUUAAUGGCAACGAAAAAAGAUGUGUGGAGAGCCCUACUCAAUAAACAACCUUGUAUCCUUGUGAGGUUUAGGCAAAACUAUUUAUCUUUAUCUGACAUUAACGAAAAUUUGCCUAGUGUGUUUCAGUGUCUUUUGUAGGAUUAUGAGGAUGUUUUUAGUGAGGCACCUAAAGGUUUACCAGCUUUACGUGGGAUAGAGCAUCAAAUUGACUUAGUACCCGGAGCUUCAAUACCAAAUCGACCAGCCUAUAGAAGCAAUCCUGAGGAGACAAAGGAAUUGCAUAGGCAAGUUGAAGAGUUACUAGACAAAGGGUACAUUCAUGAUAGCCUAAGUGAUAGAGGGUUGCGCGCGAACCAAGAUCUAGUUUUCAAGUCACGGGAAACUCCUACGAAAGUUUGAAAUAAUUAGAUCUGAAAUGAAACAGAAAAAAAUAAAAGAUUAGAUCUCUUAAUUUCUAAAUCUAAAAUAAAAUCCCCAAAUCAGCAAAGAAUCAAAUUGAGACUCGAAAUAAGUAUUAAUAAGGAUUCUUGAGAAUCAAGAGCACGUAAUUGAACCCCAAAAAAGACUCCAAUCUGCCGAAUCUAUCAAUUGAACAUGAAACAGAAAAUUAAAACACAACAGAUCAUAACAACCCAAAAAUUGAAAUAGAAUGAGGAUAGGUAGUUUGGACGGCAAGAUUAAAGGAAAAGGAUGAUUGAAGAACGUUUUCUUGCAGCCAAGAAGAGUGCUGAUCGGUUUCUUUAAGGUUGAAGUUGGCUGGAAACACAAUAAAAGAAUUGAAAUAAGUUAGAUAAAGAAAACGACACAAGCAGAAUUUAAAAGAAAGAAUGACAGCAGGAAAUAAAGAUAAAGUCCUAAGAAGCCUUGAAAUUAAGAAAGAUUUCACAACUCCUUUCAAACGGCUCUAAUCUCCCCUUUAAUGAAGAACAAUGGCAAGAAGAAGGCUGAAGAUGGCUCCCACAAUCAAAAAGAUUGUUAAAACUACUUCUAAAGAAAACUCAAGAGAGAAUUCUUGGAGAAAACUCAAAGAGAAUUUCUACUCAAAAAAAUCUGAAAUUUUUAAUGUAAAGUAAUGUGUUUACAAGGGUGGCCGGCCAUGCCUAUUAAUAGGCCUUCAAUCUAUUUCCUAAUCUCAUUAGAAAAACUAAAAAAAAGCCUAAUUAAUUAAAAUAAGAGGGAAAUUCGGCCAAGGCAUUUUUAAUGGGCUGCUUUGGCCGAAUUUUGACAAAUAAAAUUCUUAAAGUCUAAAAAUUAAACUAGAUAUUCAAAUAAUUAAAAUUGUUACAAAUUGGGCCACUUUAACAAUUUGGCCUGAUUUUUAACUAAGUAUGGUUUUACUUCUUGAUUGGGCUUGGAAUCGUCUUAAUGAGUGAUAGAAGGUUGUGCGCGGACCAAGAUCGAGUUGCCAAGUCACGAGAAAACUCCUACGAGGCUCUAAACGAACAGAUCUGAAACAAAACAUAAAUUAAAAGAUUAGAACUUUGAAUUUCCAGAUCUGGAAUAAAAAAAAUCCCCAAAUCAACAAAGAAUCUAAUUGAGAAUAGGAAUAAGUGUUAAUAAAGGCUCUUGGGGAAUCAAGAACAUGUAAUUGAACCCAAAGAAUACUCCAAUCUACCGAAUCUGAAAAGAAAGACACAAACAGCAAGUUAAAUUUCCCCAAAAUUCCAGCAAUCAAAACAACCCAAAUCUGAAAAGAAGAAAUCGACAAGAACAAGGAAUUUAGGGAUUUUGAACGAAUUUUGCUGCCAAGAACAAAAGGGGCGAUCCGAUCUUUAGUAAAGAAGAGGGAAAAUUAGAUUUGGAAUGCUUUGGAAUGCCUGAAACGCAACAAGAACAACAAACAAAGUGAUUAAAUAAAAUCGACACAAGAAGAAUUUAAAUGAAAAAAAUUGACAGCAAGAAAUUAAAAGAUAAGUCCUAAGAAGCCUUGAAAUCCCGAAAGAUUUUACGACUCCCUUCAAACGGCUCUAAUCUCUCCUCCAAAGAAUAUCAAUGGCAAGAAGAAGGCUGAAGAUGGCUCCCACAAUCAAAAGAUUGUUAAAACAACUUCUAAAGAAAACUCAAGAGAGAAUUCUUGGAGAAAAACUCAAGGAGAAUUCUGCACUUAAACAAAUCUGAAAUUUUUAAUAUAUUUGAGAAGUGAAAAACAAGGUGGCCAGCCAAGCCUUUAUAUAGGCCUCUUAAGUGUUUUCCUAAUCUAAUUAGAAAACUAAAAAUAAAAAAACUCCUAAUUAUUUUAAUAUUUAAAUGGAAAUUCGACCAAGGGCUUUUAAUUGGGCCUCUUGGACUGAAUAUCUACAUAAAAAUUUAAACUAAGUUUUUAAAAAAUAAAACUUUACAAAUUGGGCCACUUUGACAAUUUGACUUGAUUUUCAAGUAAGUAUGGUUUGUCUUCUUGUUUGGGCUUGGAAUCAUCUUAUUGGGCCUUGCCUUCAAGAACUUGGGCUUGUAUUCCAUCUUCUACCGAAAUUGGUUCGUUGAUGCUCAUAACGAAAAUCCAAUGCGCUUUGGCUGCAAGAUUUGGUUUCUUGGACCAAGAUAGAUACGACCCCGCCCCGAAAACAUCCUUGGUUCAGUUCAUCAAAUGACAAUCGCAAAUUCUUGCAAGUUGAUCGAGCUUGUUUCAGUUCAAUGGAGCUCAAUUCGAGCUAAUUUCAGCUCAUUAAGUUUGAACUUCAAUUUAUUUUAACUUAUGCUUUUACAUAGUUGCUAGAAUAAAUUAAGUUCAUUAGUUAGUUUGUUAAUUUCAGCAUGCACAUGAUUUAAUUUGGGUCUAAUAAUUUUUUAUAUUAAAUUUGCUUUAUUUAGUACAUGAUUUAAUUAUGUUUUCAAUUAGUACACAUUAAUUUGUCAUAGGUUAAGGCAUGCAUUUAAUUUGUUUAUGUUUCAGCCAAAUUUAUUAUGCUUUGUUGACCAUGUGGCAGCCGAAUUUAAUAUGUCUCAUUGUUGACUUAACAUGCUUGAGUUCAACCGAAUUAAUGAACCACUUUAAUGUGUUUUUGGGCUGCCAAAUUUAAUGUUACUUAAUUCAUGUCCAGCCGAAUUAAUAUGGCUAAUUAAUUUGUCUUGGUUCAAGCAUGAGAUUAAUUAUGUUCAAAAAGGGGCUGCCAAAAUUAAUUGUAAUAUGCAGGCAUUAUUUGACCGAAUUUAAUUGUUGUCUGUAGGAACAUGGGACAGCAAUUAAAUGAGGCAUGUUGGCCGAAUUUAAUGUGCAGCAAAACAUGAAUUAAAUGAGAUGUUCAGCAUGCAAGGAACGGCAUUUAAAGGGAAGGUUUAAUUCUUUGCUACCGAAUUUAAUGCUGAAUCAAUUCAUGAUGCAUGCACUUUGACUUGUGAUACGAGUCUCAAAGGCCCAACCAAGCCCAAACAAGAAGACAAACCAUGCUUACUUGAAAUCAGGCCAAAUUGUCAAAGUGACCCAAUUUGUAAAGUUUUAUUUUUUUUAAAUACUUAGUUUAAAUUUUUAAGUAAAUAUUCAGUCCAAGAGGCCCAAUUAAAAGCCCUUGGCCUAAUUUCCAUUUAAAAUUAAAAUAAUUAGGAGUUUGUUUAGUUUUAGUUUUCUAAUUAGAUUAGGAAAAUAUUUGAAAAGCCUAUAUAAAGGCUUGGCCAGCCACCGUGUUAGAUACUUCUCAAUUAUAUCAAAAAUUUCAUAUUUGUUUAAGUGCAGAAUUCUCUUUGAGUUUUUUCUCCAAGAAUUCUCUCUUGGGUUUUCCUUAGAAGUUGUUUUAACAAUAUUUUGAUUGUGGGAGCCAUCUUCAGCCCUCUUCUUGCCAUUGAUAUUCUUUGGAGGGGAGAUUAGAGCCGUUUGAAGGGAGUUGUGAGAUCUUUCGGGAUUUCAAGGCUUUUUAUGACUUUUCUUUUAUUUGCUUGCUGUCAAUUUCUUUUCUUUAUUUCUACUUGUGCCGAAUCUGAUACGAGUCACAAAGGCCCAACCCAAGCUUAAGAAGGUGAUGGGCUCAAAUCAAGAAAAUCAAGAUUCACUUUCUUGUUUUCAAGAAAAUCAAGAAAUCGAAUCUUGGCCCAAUUUUGCUGUUCGGAGCGAUUUCAAGAAUCAAGAAAAUCAAGAUUUCAAAUCUUGGAAAUAUUGGUCCAAGAAACCGAAUCUUGCAGCCAAAGCGCGUUGGAUCUCCAUUACGAGCAUCAACGACCCAAUUUCGGUAGGAGAUGGAUCACAAGCCCAAAUUCUUAAAGGCGAGGCCCAAUAAGCAAAUUCCCAGCCCAAUCAAGAAAUCCAUACAUAUUUAGUUGAAAAUCAGGCCAAAAUGUCAAAGGGCCCAAUUUGUAAACAUUUUAGUUGUUUAAGUUAAUUUUUUAAGUUUUAGGAAUAUCACAUGUUAAAUUCGACCCAAAACAGCCCAAUAGGAUGCAUGGCCGAAUUUUCCUUUGUUUUUUUUAAUUAAGUUUAAAUUUUUUAAGUUUUCUAAUUAGAUUAGGAUUUUUUGGAGGCCUAUAUAAGCAUUGCCCAGCCACCCUUAAUAAACAUCUUAUUAUCAUUUAAUAUAUUAAAUUUCAGUUUGUUAGAGUGCAGAAUUUUCUUUGGGGUUUUCUCCAAGAAUUCUCUCUUGAACUUUCUUUAGAAGUUGUUUUAACAAUCUUUUGAUUGUGGGAUCCAUCUUCAACCUUCUUCCUGCCAUCGGCAUUCUUUGGAGGGGAGAUUAGAGCCGUUUGAAGAGAUUUGUGAAAUCUUUCGGGAUUUCAAGGAUCUUUAGGACUUAUCCUUUAAUUUUUGCUGUUCAAUUUCUUUUCUUUAUUUCUGUUGAUGCCGAAUCUAUAUCUAAUUUCUUUCCUAUUCUUGGUUGUGUUUCAGCCUUGAUUCAAACUCCAAGAACUCUUCAUUUAAUCGGUUCUUUUAUUGGCAGCAUAUAAUCGAUUCAAAAUUCCCCAAAAUUUAGGGUUCUUGCCGUUUUCUAUUUCUUCUUGUUGGGUGAAAUUCGGCUGCUGAAAUUUGGGCAAUUCAUAUUGGGUGUUCAAUUGGACCGAAUCGCAACUUAAAUUCACUUCUUGAACCGUUCAAUUUCAUCUAUUUCUUUCUUUUCUUUUUUGCCGUCCAAAUCCCUAAUCUUCCAAUUAAAAAUCUGAUUGUUUCAAUCUACUUACUGUUUUGGUGUUCUUGGCAGAUUCGGCUUGUGGGAUUUCACUAUUGGAGUUCGAUUUCAUCUUCUUGAACUCCGAAUACAUUUAUUCAUUCGUUCUUUGUUCCUUGCUGCUCAUUUAAUUGAAUUUAGGGAUUUAAUUUCAGAUCUGAUUAGUUUAAUCUUGUUCUUUGUUUUAAUUUUCAGAUCUAUUCGUUUUAGAGAUUUCGUAGGAGUUUCCCGUGACUUGGCAACUUGAUCUUGGUCCGCGCGCAUUCUCAUAUCGUUUGGUAUCAUAUUUUGGGCGUUUUGGGUGUUCUUGGUUGAUUUCUAAAUUGAUCUCUAUUUUUUAAAGCACAAACAGCAGUUUUACCCAGAAAAAUUGUUCAAAAAAAUUUCAUUUGGGUGGGUAAACGUUGUCCGAUUGAUCUGAAAUUUUACAUAGAUAUUUGUGGCACUGUGAUUGAAUAUAAAAAAAUUAUUGCCGAAAAAAAAUCAGUCAAAAAAGUCAAAAAAAAAUCAAAAAAGACGAAAUUAAAUAAAAAAUUAAAAAAAGAUUCAGUGGGUUGAAUUUGGUGCCCAAAAUUUCCAGAUAAAAAAUUAAAUAUUUAAGGACAUUCCAGAUUUAAUUUCGUGAUUUUUAGAGAUCGGGAACACCCCGAACAAAGUUGUCAAGUUACUCCGCAGUUUUUCAGGUUUUCUGUUUUCAGCAAUUUUUAUUGAUUCUUAGCUGUAGGUUUUCAUUUGUUUGCUUUUUAUUCUCCUUUUACAAUAUCUAACACCUUCUUGUUUCUUGUGUUAGUAGGAUUUAAACGUGUGCACAAUCCUUCCUCGAUGCAACACGAAUCACUUGGUGUCUCGUCAGUUUUUGGCAUCCUAGUGCAAAUUAGGAUUCUUUGGUAGUUUGGUUCACACUCUCUAAUUGGUUGAUAUAAACUCUG
rnacentral:lncRNA from 1 species